rnacentral:rRNA from 1 species
UACAUGGGGUGCAAACGUUGCUCGGAAUUAUUGGGCGUAAAGCGCACGUAGGCGGUUAUUUAAGUCGGACGUGAAAGCCCUCGGCUCAACCGAGGAAGAGCAUCCGAAACUGAAUAGCUAGAGUACGAAAGAGGGUCGCGGAAUUCCCGGUGUAGAGGUGAAAUUCGUAGAUAUCGGGAGGAACACCGGUGGCGAAGGCGGCGACCUGGGUCGAGACUGACGCUGAGGUGCGAAAGCGUGGGGAGCAAACAGG